AGAGAAACAUGGACAACGCUGUUUGGAAGAACAGGUGAGCGAGGGUGGGGAAUUUCAGAGGCCUGGGCCCACCGCCUCCACCCCUUCCCCAGUUUAACCUUUGACAGGAUCUUCACCUCUCUCUGAUCAGCAUUGCUUCUUGUUCAAAGGCCUCAGCCACCCAGCUGUGUCCCUUUCCCCAGAAAGCAAGGGCAGAUGGCAGUGGGUCUGUUGAUGAGAGAACUUUAAGGGCCCAAUCAGUCCCUGGGCACCCCCUCCUGGGCUCGUUUUCUCCAGGAGGCUGCAUUCUGAUCCAUAAACCUUCUCCUCGGGGUUUAGGGUCGAGCUGUUCCUGAUGUUUAUCGGAGACUGGGAUCAAAGCUAUCCAGGUCAUAAAUCUCUCUCUGUGGCUGUUGGGCCCCAGGGCAGCUGAAGAGGGUUGACAGCCCUUUGGACCUCAAAGGAAAAAAUGUGCUCUACUCCACCCACUCCCAGCUCUGCCAAGAAGCUGUCCUCUGAGAAGCCAUGGCUGGGCCGUUCCAUUCUGGGGAGCUGCUGAAAAGAGCUGGGAGGCCGAGAAGAACUUGCGUGUGCUGGGGGAGAGGAAGCCUGGCCUUGAGGGAGGGGUGCAGGGCUUCCCAGGAAUCAACAAUGCCCAAGAAGGAAGGGAUUGUAGAAAUAGCUUAACCCUUUCAUUUACCAACGUGGAAAUUGAAGCCCAGGGAAGGGAAGGGACCGGUCGUGGAAGGGAGAGCCAUCAGCAGAAAGAGACCCUGAGAUCUUCGCCUGGGAUUCCCAGGAAGUCCAGCCCGAGCUGAUUCACAGAACAAAUGCAUGCAAACCUUGCUAUCAAUAAAUUACACAUGCACUUACGUA
rnacentral:lncRNA from 1 species